rnacentral:rRNA from 1 species
GNUUAAUGAUCAUAGGCUCAGAUUGAACCGCUCGGUGUUCAGCCUAACACAUGCAAGUCGAGCGGCAGCACAAGGGAGUUUACUCCUGAGGUGGCGAGCGGCGUGACGGGUGAGUAAUGCCUAGGGAUCUGCCCUGUCGAGGGGGAUAACAGUUGGAAACGACUGCUAAUACCGCAUACGCCCUACGGGGGAAAGAGGGGGACCUUCGGGCCUCUCGCGAUUGGAUGAACCUAGUGGGAUUAGCUAGUUGGUGAGGUAAUGGCUCACCAAGGCGACGAUCCCUAGCUGUUCUGAGAGGAUGAUCAGCCACACUGGGACUGAGACACGGCCCAGACUCCUACGGGAGGCAGCAGUGGGGAAUAUUGCACAAUGGGGGAAACCCUGAUGCAGCCAUGCCGCGUGUGUGAAGAAGGCCUUCGGGUUGUAAAGCACUUUCAGUAGGGAGGAACAGGGUAGAGUCUUAAUACGGCUCAUCUGUGACGUUACCUACAGAAGAAGGACCGGCUAACUCCGUGCCAGCAGCCGCGGUAAUACGGAGGGUCCGAGCGUAAUCGGAAUUUACUGGGGCNUUAAAAGCGUUCNCAAGGCGGUUUGUAAAGGCGAGAUGUGAANAGCCCUGGGCUCAACCCUAGGAAUAGCNUUUCGAACUGGCGAACCUAGAAUCUUGCUACAAGGGGGGGGGGUUAACAACUUUCCCACGUNNUUUACCGGGGGAAAAAAUUGCGCUAUAACGAAACNUUGGGNAGNAAAUACCGGGGUGGCAAAAGGGCGGGGCCCCCCCUUUGUAACAANACUAUGGCUAUACUAAAAUCCAUUUGUUGUCGAGUCCGNGAAUUAAAUACCCGCAUGAUACCGCACGCUGAUAAAUAUAUCCUAUCAGUUGUGUGAUAACAGACGUUGUNUUAGUAUUUAUAAGCNNCUGGNCNGNAGAUAUANUUUNUGGACAGGGCCNUUGUAUUUUUAACAUCUGNUUCCGUGUGNUGGUG